UUACAUGCGACGUACAGUCAUUAUAUACGAUUAUCCAACAUGACAAGGGAUGCCAGGCAAUCAGAUCUAUUUUAGAACGGGAUGACUCUAUGUUCCAAGAACAAAGAGAUUUUAUUAUUGACGGCAUAGAUUUAAUUUUGAAACAUAAUUAUUUCUGGUUUAAAGACAGCUUCUUUUUACAGAAAACUGGGAAUGCUAUGGGUACUAGGUUCGCACCCAGCUAUGCCAACCUCUAUAUGGCCGAAUGGGAAGAUCGGUCCGUGUGGAGGGGGCAUGGCUGGGUGCAGAACCUGGUUUCCUAUUCUCGUUACAUAGACGACCUCCUGUUUAUUUGGAAGGGGCCUAUUAGUUCAGCCAAGG